GCUUAUCACCAUUCCAGAUUGAAUAUACCCGAUCUCGUCUGAUCUCGGAAGUCAAGCAAUCUCGAGCUUGGUUAGUACUUAGAUGGGUGACCGCUUGGGAAUACCAAGUGUGAUAAGCA
rfam:Ciona savignyi cont_60182, whole genome shotgun sequence.